CUAACCGUGCAAAGGUAGCACAAUCACUUGUUCUUUAAAUCAGGACUAGUAUGAACGGCCCCACGAGAGCUAUGCUGUCUCCCCCCUUCAAUCAGUGAAACUGAUCCCCUCGUGAAUAAUACCAUAAGACGAGAAGACCCCAUGGAACUUUAAACUAGUAUCACCCCCCCCAAGACACAUGACUACUAGUCUUUAGGCUGGGGCAGCCACGGAGAAAAAUAAAACCCCCGAGAUGAAAGGAAACCUCCUUAUCCAAGAACUACUAUUCAAAGAAUCAAUAAAUGACAUUAUUGACCCAAUACUUGAUCAACGAACCAAGCUACCCUGGGGAUAACAGCGCAAUCCAUUUCAAGAGACCUCAUCAACAAAUGGGCUUACGACCUCGAUGUUGGAUCAGGGUGUCCUGGUGGUGCAGCCGCUACCAAAGUGUUCGUUUGUUCAACGAUUAAAACCCUACGUGAUCU
rnacentral:rRNA from 1 species